GGCCUUUUUUUUCUGUUUCACUGCUAUCGGCGAAAGCAACCGAAACAAAUGCCAAAGGUGAGACAUGCUGGAAAGGCUUGAUACAAAUGUGUAGGCGUAGUUUUGGAAUUCAGAGGUGCUAGCUGGCUGUUUGGAUUGGGCCAUCCAGGCAAUGUGGAUAUUCUGCCAUGUACAUGAUAACCUAGGAUAUAAACCUAGGAUUCUUCGUCAACAUGCAUGAUGUUACCCCCUGGUAAUGCUUUUCCGCUGAGUUUGUUUAGUUUUUUAAUUUUAAUCGUCAAUGUCGUAUUAGCAAACUACUGUUGACAGAAAAGCUGAUACAUUGGGACAAUGGUUACAGCAAGUGUGAUGAAUAAAUUACCAUAGAUCAGUUGCCUUGCCUUCCCAAUUGCAACAAAGACGAAUCAUGGAGUCAAAAAUAUUAAAAGGUGGUACUAUUUUAAUUGAUAUAUCGCUAAGUGCUGGAAUUCAUGUCAUCCUGGAGAGGACUAAAAAAAAGAGAUGUAUCCAUGAAGCAGUUCAUUAGUCAUGUCCCAAAUGAAUGCCUGCAUCAACAGCAAUUUUUCCAAUGCUAACAAGGAUUUAAUGGUUUUGAAAAUCGUAGGCGCCAUUUCUAAAUCCCACCUGUCAAAAGAUUUGAAUGCAACAAUUUUUAUUCUGAACUGAUGCCUACCAAAUUCUUUUCCCAUAAAAUGAGGUGAUAUGAGGUUAUAAUGGAAAUUGCUGUUAAGACUGCCGAGACCAGCCCACGGAAGAUCUCUGUGGCCAAGACGAAGAAUUCUUCCAAACUUUCGUAUUCAAGUUUUGGCCAUGGUGAUCAUUUGCAACUGCAUAGCCUUUUAGAAGCUCCUGCCAGGAAUCUACAGGAAUAUGGCAGAUGAUGGAUUUAUGUACCAUAUUAAUAGCAACAGUGACCCUGCGAAGGUUUCUGGUUGGGAUGUGAUGACGAAAAGUUAUAAUAAUUUGAAGUACGGAAUUGAAUUUCCCUCCAUCAGCCGCCUGUGUAUUCCCGUGUAUUAUGGUAUUAAUUAUUUAAAAACUGAAGUGCAUAUCUGGGCUCCCUUCCUUUCCGUAGCCCCGUUUCCCCUUGACUCGUAAUAAGCCCGUAGGGGGUCAUGCCCCUACUGUACGGUAUAUAUAAAAAUAACAUAUACCGAGGUUUGGAGGGCUCUGGCCGGAAAGGGGACGUGGGGGUCCGCUUAGUCCGAUGAUGUGUUCACGGAGGGCGACGUGGCUAUCCACAAAUCCGAACUAAAGGUUAAUCGCUCCAGUAAAAAUGUUCCAAAUCUUCGGCUCUUCUUCCGGCUUCUCUUAGCCAAUCACCGGGUAAU